rnacentral:lncRNA from 1 species
CCUGACCUCAGGUGAAUAACCUGCCUUGGCCUCCCAAAGUGCUAGAAUUACAGGCAUGAACCACUGUGCUUGGCCUCAUGUUCUUUAUGUGAUUUGAGUUAGGAGGGAAAUCUAAAUAGUUUAAUCACAUGAAACAUGGUAACACCUGAUAUUCUGACUUACCAGGUCAGCUUUCUUCAAGUAGAUCACCUUUUAAAAGAAGGCCUAGGCUAAGCCAAAGGAAUUAAUCUCUGACAGUAGAAUACCCAGGCAUGUUUACUAGCAUUGAAGAAACUUUUCUCUCCUUCUGUAUACCAGCUUGUCUACAGUAGACAAGUUUAUUUCCUCCAAAAGGACAAAAGUUGAUAAAUGGCCUGCAAGUUGGAUCUAUAUUUUAUCAUUGAAUAUCUUUGUCAAAAUAUAUCAUGCAUUUUAUAUUUUACUAUGAGCCUUUCAGAUACUAAUGACUUCCAUUUUCAGAGUCUUUCAACUCAAGUGAUCAUCAUGGGCAUCCCUCAUAUUUUUCCUCUUAUUUAUUCUCAGACUUUCUUAUGAAGUGAGAUAAUAAGCAUAAAGACAAUUUCUCACUGUACAGUACAGGAAGCCUUUCACAGCUGACGACUCAAAUGUCUGGGUGAUUUCAGAGUCUUCUAAAAUGCUCCAGAAGCUGGAUGAGUGAGGAGAUUUGUACCAACGUCAUGUAUUCUCCUCUUCCCUGCAAAUUCCUCCACCUGAGUCCUAUUGAGGUGCUCCCCAUUAUAAGGAGUCCUGUGAAUCAAAGUGGUAUGUUUACUGUAAAGAAUGUGGAGGAUGCUGUUCACUGCAUUGUAUUGUUAUCUUCAUGAGGAAGCCAGGAGACAUUUAUUUUGGCUCUCUGUUUUAGAAAGGUGUUCUCCUCAUGACGACCUGUUUGCCUCUGAUCUUAAGGACACUUUGAAGCAUACCGAGCAGGGGUCUGCAAACUUCUUUGAUAACAGGCAAGAUAGUAAAUAUUUUCAGCUUUGCAGGGCAGAGUCUCUGUCACAGCUACUCAACUCUUCUGUGGUAGCAGCCACAGACAGUGUGUAAGUGAUUGGACGUGGCUGUGUUCCAGUACAACUUCAUUUACAAAAACAGGGCUCAGGCCAACCCCUGAUAGAGAUAUUCAUGGUUUUUGUGUUUCUCUCUCAAAUGCUAACUACCAGAAAAGCUUAGAGUCAAAUCUGAAUCAUGCUUCUAGCAAAUAUGUACCUACACAUUUAGCAUACUAAUAUCACUCUUGCUUACCAGUUUUUACCCUGUUUUCUCACAUUUAUAUUCCAUUUGUCAUAAUUAUAGCUCCUGUCUUGACUGUAUCUUCUUUCACUGUGUUUUUUGUUGUUGUCGUUGUUGUUGUUUUUGGGAAUGGGAUAGGACUGUAAGUAAAUAAAUCAAUUAUAUCUUGCUAGCUUAGAAACCAGGACUUGAGUAACCACUUCUGACUCAAAGUUCAAUCUAUGUGGUUAAAUAGGGAAGCAGACCAUAAGAUGUAUGCCCAGUGGUGCACGUUGCUGACUCGCAAGCUAUGUGCAGGCUUUAGCAUUUAGUGUGGUGAUGUGUGCCCUCUAACCUGAGAUGUUGAGAGAGGGGCAGAGAAGAAGACUUCUUGUAGCCACAAAGUUUCAUUCCUUCCUCUCUCAUUGUUGUAGCAUUUCUUUUAAGUGAAAACAGCCUUUUUGGUUUGCUAGCCUAUCUCUGGCAGGAAGACAAAUUAUUUUUUUACAGUAUCAGACACGCGGUUUCCUGUCUAUGUUUAACUUGCUAGCAGAACAUCUCAGCCAGCUGGUUCCCUCUGGACCCAUUGUGUCCUUAAUGUCGUUGCUUUACACCAUCCAGCAAACCCACUCUGUGUACUGAUCGCAUGCAUUGAGCAUUUUGUUGACUUCCGUUGUUUUCCGAGUAAGGGAAGUCUUAGAAAUGCUGCCCUCUUUCUCCCAAAUCUCAUUUUAUGUUUGUUCAGCUCCAACACCAGGGAGCUGGCUUCUUGGGGAAAUGAUUAGUUCUUGCAUGUAAGAAAUGAAAAGAGUAAAUGGUGUUUUGGUAGCUCUGGGGGAUUUUAGGUAUGCUGCCUUGGAACUGUGCACUCACGCCUCAAAAUAGCUGGCUUUCCAGCUGUGCAUUUUUGUUUCAAAAGAAACAAACCAGAUUUACUUUCUGGUCUAAAUGCAGAAGAAAAAAUAAGUGUGGAAAUAUGGUUGAGAAAAGUUGUUAGAAGAGGAAGAAAAUUAUGGAUUAAAGUUGCUAGUCUCAUUCCUGAGAAGAGAAAUCAGUUAUUUGAGGUGAUGACUCAGAGCUGAAGCAGCUUUUUGUUGUGAACCAGCCUUGGUUAGAAAGCACACUUGGAAUUCAUCAAUAUGGCCCUAUGUCUGGCCAAGGAAAUAAUAAAGAUUUUGCAUGAUAGAGGACACUGUGACUCAGUUGAAGGAAGCUUAGAAUGUAUUUGAACUGAAUUAAGGCAAAAGCAACUCGCUUUUCAAGAUUUUUUUUUUUCCUAAGUAGCAAAGUAAACAAAGCUGCACUGAGGCCAGAUGUGCUUUCUGGUUGUGAAUAUUUGUACUCUAGAACCUCAUUCUGGUAUGAAUCAGCAGAGUGGAAUCUAGUAUGGACACAGGCUGUCUCAAAUUCCAUCCACUGGAUAUGAGUGGCCAAGAAAGCAGUCGGACCCAUACUGCUGGUGCUGUAGCAAGGUUCGGGUGGUUCCUCUGCAGCCUCAGGUCUCUCCCACUGCGGCCUCCAUGUGUUCCAUAAACUCCACACCCAUGAGUAAUGGCAAGAAGGGUCCACUGAGACCUUUUGCUGCUUUGCGAGUGUCUCAGUGUCCCACCAGGGGAAAAAAAAGGCUCAGGGAGGUGGCUAACCACUGUGAAAUUGACUUUUAUUUCCACCCACGUAUACUCCAGAGGCUGUAUUCACCACCAUUUGGACAUCUGGAUGACUUGCCUUUGGAAAGUCCUUUUGUAUUCUAAAUCGCUCCUGCAUGUUACCUGUUGUGGAAAAUAUCAAUUUUGCCAUUACAAAUUAUGCUUUUUUUUAAAAACAUGUUAACUUUUAGAGAAAUAAUUUAUAUUUGCUUAUCUACUUUUAAAAAUAUACAUAUAUAUGCCUUUUGUUGCCUAAUUAGAGGAUAUAGUUGGUUCCAAUGUCAAGAACAAUUUCUCUGAAAUGUAGUCAUUAAAAUUAUUCCCAUGUCUUUCAUUUUCCAGGCCCCAUCCUAUUCGAAAUACCUGUUUCUUCCACCAGGCUGAUGUAGUUAUGCUUAGGCUUGGCUGCACAUUGGAAACACCUGAGUAGCUUUAAAAACUACUCAUUAACUGGGUCUUACUCCUGCAGUUUCUGACUUAAUUGGUCUGGGGCCUGGUAUCAGGAAUUAUUUUUUAAUUCUUCAAGAUAUUUUAAUAUGCAGCCCACAUUGGGAACCACUGGACUCAAGACAGUUUGUUCUGCCAAAUCUUUUUAUAUUUUUCGUCACGUUCCCCCUGUAGCCUGGAAAGGGACGGUAACAAUUAAAGAAUGGCAGCUACCACAGGAAGGAGCCAAAAUUAUGCCUUCGAAGGUUAGAGGAGGAGAAAAACCAACACCUGUUUUACCCCAUCCUUGGAGGAAUAGCAAGACACUUUAAGAGGGGAUAUUAUUUUGUUUUCUACAACAAUUUACAAGCAAUUGCUUUGGAACAAGGUCAACGGCCUCAUUGGGAAUAGGCAUCUUAGCUUUUAAAACUGAUUAAAUUAUACGUUAAAGGAAAGCACAUUUUAAACCUUAAUGUGUCCAAAAGGUUGGAUGGCAAGGUUUGGGUGCUACUGCCUUGGCAGAGACAAGGCAGGGACCAGGGAGGCUGUGUGCAUGAUUUUAGGAGGUGAGAAACUCAGGUGGGAAGGAAUUGCAGAAGCCUGUGGUUCACCUGGAAAGCCAGGGAGAGAGAGAGGAUGUAUUCUGGUGACCUAACAGGUAUUGUGAAUAAUGAAUAUGCUUUUCCAAAGCGAUCUGGUCUCCCUGUUGGAGAGCAUCCUGAAAUAACUUAAGAAAUGUACCUUGCUUUCAGGUUUCCUGAGAACAUGAGGGCCCCUAGACAGAGUACAAGGUGUAAUUCAGACAGCCAGCCAGAAAAAGAAUUAAAGAAUCAGGGCAGGUGUGGGGAUCCUAACAAAACCUAAGCUUUUAGUAGUCAGAAAACUGCAAUAACACAGAAAAGAAAAUGAAAAAAAAUCUUGUUCCAAAGAACAUAUAUCAGGUGUGAAACUCUCUUUGUGGGAGGACAGAUGUGUCAUCAUUUCCUGGACAAAGCCUGGUACCUUGUAGGCACCCUCCUAAUGUUGGUUGCCCUCCUUUUAAAGUCAGAGCAAGAGAAGUAGCAGGAAUCUAUAUCCUAAGGAGGAACAUAAAGGGUGAAAAGCACAGUGGAAGGGAUGCCUAAAAGAGCAAAGGCUGAAUCAGGGUUUUAAUGGCCUGAAAUGACCAAUUUUCUAAAACUUGACAGGUAGAUGUAAAAUCAGACAUAUAGGUUCAAACAAUCGAUUGCAAAGGAGCACUUGUCAAAACACUGGCUGGGAAUCUGCUCAUGUGAUGAAGACCCCAGGGUUUAGAGGUGAGUUAAGGUCAUUUUGAAAUCAGGAUGAUCUGGCUGAAAGAAUCAAAACAAAACAGAAAGAACAAACCAUCAGGAGCCUUAAACUCCACUUGGUGGAAGAGGAGGUGAGAGUCCUGCUGUAAUCUUUGCUACACAAGUUAUAUUCCAAGUAUUAUAUCUGUGUCUAUCAAAACACAUGAUGAAGAAUCUUAAAUAGCAAGCGUGGUUUCAGAGAACAGAUCACUUUACCCUUAGAAAAAAGGUCCUGGCAUUUAUUGGGCGCUAUAUGCUGGGCAGGCUGAUUUUAGGGUCUGAUAAAUCUGUCAGACUUUAGAGUCUCAUCAAUGUAUCUCUUGAAAAGUAACCGAGGAAAACAUGGCUGUUCAACCUGAAAAUGAAAUGAUCUAGGGGUUGUGAGUUUCAUAUCCAGCAGGAGUUUAAUAGUUCUCAUCCCAUAGAAAACGGAUUCAUUUUGUUACUUUUUGCUUUAGAGAACAGCAGAAGGACCAAUAAUAGAAGCACACAGAGGCUACAUUUGACUUAAUGUAAAGAAUAAUUUUAAACAUAUCCCAAUAUUUAGACUUUAUCCCAAUAUAUCUGCAGUUAGAAAUAUUGUGAUUUGAUUAUGGAAUGAUAACAAAGGAAUGAUGUCCUUCUACCAUAACAUUUUCAGGCAGAGGUUUCACCUCUACCUCUCAUGGGUAUUCUAGAAAGAGAUUAUCAUACUGGAUUAGAAUACAUGCAAGGCUUUUCCAUCUGGGAGAGAGAUAAGAAGGAAAUAAUACAAAGGAGACUGUGCCAUGGGAUAGGAGAGGUGGCGAAUAGCUUUGUUCUGAAAUAUGUGCAGUUGGAAUAAAACAACCACAUUGAUUGGAGAGAAGACUUCUUUCAUCAUUUGAGGAAAAAAUACUCUCAAAAUAUAUCCAGAAUGUCAAACAGUGCUAUCAAUAGCUAGAAGUUAAAUUAAAUCCUUCAUUGCUAGUGAGCUUACUGUCCUUUUGUUGUUUAAUUGAAAUGACUUUUUAUUGUUUGCCUAAAUUGGUGUGCUUUUUACUAGGAUGAUGGAUGGGGAAGCAUAUCUCAUUCUACACUCCUCCACCAGUUAAUUGACUAGAAAAUUAUCAUGGGCCAUUUUCUCAUUGGCUAGUGCUGAAUACAGCUGUACCAGAGCUUUGCAAACAAUUCCACUAAGAAAUUUUUUGUAGGAGGAAAGCAUCUCUAUGGCAGAGUACCAAAGAACUUAACUUUAUUUUUGCUAAACUGUUUAGCAAGAAUAAAAUUUACCUCUGAAACUUGAAUGUGUAAAUGAAUCACUGAGAGAACUUUUAAAUGUAGAUUCUGAUUCAGUUAGUUGAGGACAGCGCUAAGACUCUGCAUUUCCAGUAAGUUCCCAGGGGAUGCUGAUGACUGCUGGUCUGCGGGCACACUUAGAAUAACGAGGUGACAAGUUAUUCUUUAUGUAACAUGCCAACAAAAUUUUUAAAGGUACAGAAAAUGAUGGCAAGAUCUUUGAACUCUGCAAUAUGAAGCAUAUAUGUGAGUGCUUAGCUUUCACUCUCUUUCUGUGUGUGUGUGUGUGUAUACAGAUACUAAGACACAGAUACAUUCACAUAUAUACAUCUAAAUAUAUAUACAGUACAGUCCAUAUUCAGAUUUCUUCAAGGUUAAUGGGUCUAUUGUUUAAAUUCGGAAUCCAGUCAAGGACAACACAUUAAAAUUGAUUGUUUUGCCUCUACAGUGUGUUUUUUUGGUUUUCAUGACAUUGACUUUGAUUUGAAUAGGUCAGACCAUUUCAUGUACUUUAUAAAGGCACUUUGUAGAUUUGUCUGAUGAUUUGAUUAAUUCAGAUUAAACAUUUUUUAAAGA